CCCCAACCCCAGGCACCUGGCUCUUUAUGGAGUUCUUGUACCCAGAAAUGGCCUUCUGUUUCUUUGCCAGGUUUUGUCCUGGUGCUGGUCACUAGGGUCUGACUGUAACAGCUCCUGUGAUUGUGGAUCAGUAAAGCAGAAGCCCCAGGAGCAGAAAGGUCAGGAUACUAGGGAUGCAGAUGCACUGCCGCCCUGCCUGUAUAUGGGGUCCAGGCCACAUGUUCCACGACUCUUCUGGCCUGCCCAGGCUGACUGCCGAGCUGGCUAGCAGCAGUUUGCUGGCCCUCUGACUCUCGGGGUUCUGAUCUGCCUUCUUGUGUUGCUGGAAAACAUGGAAGAAAUCAGAACCAGACACUGCACAGGCUAAGGACCAGGUGACUGGAACUCUGAAGCCUUCUCUUCUAGAUCUGGCAUCCUGCACACGGGACGUGGGACUGACUUCUGUCUCUCAGCAGCAAACCCUCUCCCAGCAUUUUCCUCCCUUUUGAGGCAGAGUAAUAUUCACCGUGUGUCUGGCCACAUUUUAUCUGUCGGGAUGGGGAUGAGAACUCUGGUCCCCUGCAUCGAGUGCUGCCGCCGCCACCGCUGAGUUCAGGUGUGUCUGCCAACUCGGCCUGGAGUCCUGCUCUCACUGGAUUGUGGGAUAUUCCAUCAAGGCUGCUGUGGUUAUCCUUGGUCCAACUUUGUGUACUCAGAGCUGCCACCCUAUCCUCACGACGGUCCCACUUUAAAUGCUCAGUCCUGACCCUCCUGGGAAAAAUCUCCAUGAAGGCUUUACUCACAGAGCCUGGGCUGUUCUUACCUCCACCCCACCCCCACCCCCACUCGGCCUCCUAC